CCUACGGGAGGCAGCAGUGGGGAAUCUUGCGCAAUGGGCGAAAGCCUGACGCAGCAACGCCGCGUGCGGGAAGAAGGCUUUCGGGCUGUAAACCGCUUUCAGCAGGAACGAAAAUGACGGUACCUGCAGAAGAAGGAGCGGCCAACUAUGUGCCAGCAGCCGCGGUGAUACAUAGGCUUCAAGCGUUGUCCGGAUUUAUUGGGCGUAAAGAGUUCGUAGGCGGUCGAGUAAGUCGGGUGUGAAAAUUCUGGGCUCAACCCAGAGACGCCACCCGAUACUGCCUGACUUGAGUUCGAUAGGGGAGUGGGGAAUUCCUAGUGUAGCGGUGAAAUGCGCAGAUAUUAGGAGGAACACCGGUGGCGAAGGCGCCACUCUGGAUCGAUACUGACGCUGAGGAACGAAAGCAUGGGUAGCAAACAGGAUUAGAUACCCUGGUAGUCCAUGCCGUAAACGGUGGGCACUAGGUGUGGGUUUCUAUUAACGAAAUCCGCGCCGUCGCUAACGCAUUAAGUGCCCCGCCUGGGGAGUACGGUCGCAAGACUAAAACUCAAAGGAAUUGACGG
rnacentral:rRNA from 1 species